GACAGAGGGUGCAAACGUUGCUCGGAAUUACUGGGCGUAAAGCGCGUGUAGGCUGACCGGAAAGUCGGGCGUGAAAUCCCUGAGCUCAACUCAGGAACUGCACUCGAAACUCCCGGUCUUGAGUGGUGGAGAGGGAAGUGGAAUUCCUGGUGUAGAGGUGAAAUUCGUAGAUAUCAGGAGGAACACCAGUGGCGAAGGCGGCUUCCUGGACACCAACUGACGCUGAGACGCGAAAGCGUGGGGAGCAAACAGG
rnacentral:rRNA from 1 species